CGAGGAAGCCGCUGCUGCAUUUUACAGACUUGCCCAGUUUCCGCGAACCAUCGGAGCAAUCGAUUGCACCCAUGUGAAGAUACAAUCACCUGGUGGAGAAUUAAGCGAAGGUUUUCGAAAUCGUAAAGGAUGGUUUUCACUGAAUGUGCAAACAAUAUCAUCGGCCGAUUUGAAAAUUUUGAACGUUGUUGCACGUUGGGCGGGAUCUGUGCACGACCAAACAAUAUUCCGUCAUUCAAAUGUCCGAGCAAGAUUUGAAGGUGGUGAAUUCGGGAAUCAUAUAUUAAUCGGGGACUCGGGAUACGCAAAUACCCGUUAUUUGGCAACUCCGUUUACAGCAAGC